UUAAGUCAUCGCACCUCCCGGAGAUACAGGUCAGCCUUUGGGUAGCCUAAAGUCUGUUUUCACCUAACUUUCUUUAGCCUCUGCUUGAGCCCCCUCCGGAUAUACACACAAUACAGACAUUUUUACCAAGUUAACUCAACAAAACCUUCUCUAUGCCUUAUAAAGCUGCAGUGCCUCUGAAAGCUAGACCUCUUUGUCACGUACGCCACAAGAAAGAUGACAGAUCCUAAGCUCUUAGGUUAAUUUUUUCCAGCUGAGCCCAGUUAUUUCGUUCCCAGCAGGCUAGCUACCUCGUCCAGGGCUCUUUAUCAGUCCUCUGACAGGUGUCAGCUGUUCUCCACAGCACGUAGUGGUUACCAAAGGUCUCUCCCAGGUUUCAGCAGGCAAGUAUUCAAGAAGGAAUACUGAGGACUUAGGAGGUAUGCAAAUGGAGAGGAUCAACUAGGAUUCCAGGGUGACUUUGGCAAUAAGGUACAGCACAAUGCAAGGAAGGACGGGAUUUCACUGCAGAAACACUGACAGCAAAAUGCAUUUUGUGCCAUUUCCUUCCAUUGCAGGAGUCAGUGUAAUCCCUUCUGCUGAGCAGGAAGGAUUUGGGAAGUAUUCUGCACCAGGAACUUCCACCUGGAUUCAGCAAGAACUCCUGGUAGGAGACAAUUCUGCUCAGUGUGGUCAUCCAGGCCUAGCAUCACAGUGCUGUUGGAUGCAAAUCCUGUACAGAAGAAGGAAUUUUUAUUUAGUGAACAUUGACUGAUUUCUCAUUCUCACCUAGCUUUGAAGAAAGAACACGGUGACUUAGAUUUUGAUCAGUGUUACACUAAAGGCUUGUCUAGCAAAACAAUCUGGUAAUGUUUGGAUCGUGAAUGCUGCUGAGAACACGGCUUGGAGCUAUCUCCGAGGAGAAGCCAGCCAAACUUCUGGACCAUGAAGUUCAGUAAGGAACUCCAACAUAAUACAACACAGUCAACUCUCAAAUAUGUCAGGUAACAGGAAGCUGGGGCAACCUGGUUAAUGAAAAACCGUCAAUAACAAUGCUAUUCUUUGCAAAGCCAGCUCCUGGCAUCUCGGGGUGGUUUGAUUAGCUUGGCCACGGCACCGCAGGAACGCGCGGAUGUAGCCUGGGUCCUGGAGCCACAGGGUCACGUUCCUCUAACCCAGCCCCCUGGGUUUGUGCUGAGCUGCUGACCUUCCUUGCAUGGUGCUCUGCAAAGCCUCCAGCAGCAGGGUUUAGUCCAGAAUCAGCAUCGCUGCUGUGGUGUUUGGCCACAGCGAAGUCACCACCUGAACGGUCUGCUUAGGGACGUCACAAACCCAACUGCAUGCGGGGCUCCUCCAGCUCCAACAGCCCUGGUGCUGUGCUAUUGGGAUCUCUGAUGAUGUUGGACUGGGAUCUUUGAUGCUCUGGGACUGGGAUCUCCUUGCGGCACCAGCUUCGCCAUGAAACAGCGGUGACUGAGGCUAAAGGCAUCUCAGGAAGGAGCGAUUCUUCCAGCAAAGCUUGAAGCAGAGGGGAGAAAGAAGCGGAGGGAAAGUAAAAGCAGAUGCUGAGCAGAGCCACAAGUGGUGGAGAAGGAAGAAGCUGGGUUUGUGCUCCUCGCUCGAGCAGCACGCCCCAAGGACUGCAGGUCCCUGCACACAGUGCUACGUGAGUACGAAGUGCAGAACUGCACGUGUGCCAGACAAACAGCAGCGGCCCUAAACAAUCAAAGCGGCCAGUGCCCAUUCUCCUGCAGGCACAAUACAGGUAGAAUUUCCCCCAAUUUCAGUUUUUUUUCCAAGAGGAGCUCUGUUCCAAACCCCAACUUGCAUAAUGCGAGGCUGCUCGGAGCGAACAAAGAGUGGCAGAGCCCUGUUGACAAAGGUGGGCUGCACAACAAUAUACCCACGCUAAAAGAAGGACCGACACGGGCGGAAAGUCAGUAAACAAAACAAAAAUAAAAUGCAGAUGGUAUGCAGCUAAAGCAAACUGAAUGGUUCGCUGCAUACCUAGCAGGCCAAGAAGGAAGGGAAAUUCCUUCCCAGGGUUUACGUGAACAAUGAGUUUCCCUGAAAACUCCAGGAGGCCGUUCCCAGCUCCUCCGCUGGCAUCGCGAGGAGGAAAGCAAAUGCUGGAAAGGUUGUUUCAGUUCAUUACUGACCUCAGUGCAAAGCGUAGUACCGGUGAACUCCAGUGUGGAUCAAUGUGACCUCUUGCUUCAGUGGUAUUGUUGUUACAGCAGUGUACAGCACGCAGUGCUGCUUUUUACAAGAAAACGCAGCUGUCCGUGUGCCACUGGGCGUUCCAGCAGUCCCUCAGCUCUGAGCAAAGCAAGCCCAACGUGCUGCCGCUCAGCUCCGCGCCGAGGGCAGCAGCCAGGCUCCCCGCACUUGUGAGAUAAAGAAUGGAGAAGACACGACGUGUGACUGUGCAAGCAGAGGUAAAGAGUCAGAUCCUAAACGGGGCAACCUGGGUAUUGUACCUAAAAACCAGCAAGUGCUCCAGCCAACCCUACAAAUCAAGAGAUGUGAAGAAAAGACAGCUCUUGGAGUGUCUGUCACCCAAUUUGUUAGCAGGCUUUUUGGCAGCUGGGCAUGCAAAUACAGAUCAAUGUGCCUCCGUAACACCCCAUGAAAGACAGGCCCAGAAAUCCAUCAAGAACCUCUUAAAACCUUCUAAAAGCAGGGCAAUAAAGCACCAUAACAUCUAAUGGCUAUUUUCAAAAAAUACAAAAAAAAUAAAAAACAACUUGUGGCUCUUCUGCUGCAUUGUUUCUACUGCAUUAAAAUGUCAGUAACGGUUAAAAUGUGAAAAAUAGGAAAGUCUCACCAAUUCAUACCAAACCGCAAACCACUUUGUAAGAUCAUGGAAUUCUACAAGUUAACAGACAAAUGAACAAACAUGCACACCAAUAAAACUGCACAAGAAGAAACAUGCCAGCUUCUAUUUAUUCUCAUUCACUGUGUUCUACAGCUCAGGAAAAAAAAAAAAAAAAAAGGCUUGAGCAGUAGAGUUUUAUUAAAGCUGGAGAUAAAUUUUGGAAGUUUGCAUUAAGGAAUCCAAAAUAAUUUGCUUUUUCAAAAUGGCUUCGAUUCAAAUCAAAUGGAAAAAAUUACAAAAGCGUUUCAGAACCUGAAAACAGGGAAGGCUGGAAUAAACAUGAAGUCAUCUAUGGAUAAUGCUCUCCAAACAUAAAUUCCUACGCUCAGUCUUUUGGUAACACUUUGA